rnacentral:rRNA from 1 species
UUCCAGACUCCUACGGGAGGCAGCAGUGGGGAAUAUUGCACAAUGGGGGAAACCCUGAUGCAGCGACGCCGCGUGAGUGAAGAAGUAUUUCGGUAUGUAAAGCUCUAUCAGCAGGGAAGAUAAUGACGGUACCUGACUAAGAAGCCCCGGCUAACUACGUGCCAGCAGCCGCGGUAAUACGUAGGGGGCAAGCGUUAUCCGGAUUUACUGGGUGUAAAGGGUGCGUAGGUGGCAUGGCAAGUCAGAAGUGAAAGCCCGGGGCUCAACCCCGCGGACUGCUUUUGAAACUGGCAGGCUGGAGUACAGGAGAGGUAAGCGGAAUUCCUAGUGUAGCGGUGAAAUGCGUAGAUAUUAGGAGGAACACCAGUGGCGAAGGCGGCUUACUGGACUGUAACUGACACUGAGGCACGAAAGCGUGGGGAGCAAACAGGAUUAGAUACCCGCGUAC